rnacentral:rRNA from 1 species
CCUACGGGAGGCUGCAGUAGGGAAUCUUUCACAAUGGGCGAAAGCCUGAUGGAGCAACGCCGCGUGCAGGAUGAAGGCCUUCGGGUUGUAAACUGCUUUUAUAAGCGAGAAAUAUGAUGGUAACUUAUUAAUAAGGAUCGGCUAACUACGUGCCAGCAGCCGCGGUCAUACGUAGGAUCCGAGCAUUAUCCGGAGUGACUGGGUGUAAAGAGUUGCGUAGGUGGCAUAAUAAGUAGCUAGUGAAAUCUGGUGGCUCAACCAUUCAGACUAUUAGCUAAACUGUUAAGCUCGAGACCGUUAGAGGUGAGUGGAAUUUCUAGUGUAGGGGUGAAAUCCGUAGAUAUCAGGAGGAACAUCGGUGGCGUAGGCGCUUUACUGGGCCGUAAUUGACACUGAGGAACGAAAGCCGGGGUAGCAAAUGGGAUUAGAUACCCGUGUAGUC